rnacentral:rRNA from 1 species
UACAGAGGGGGCAAGCGUUGUUCGGAAUUACUGGGCGUAAAGGGCGCGUAGGUGGCCUUCUAAGUCGAACGUGAAAUCCCUGGGCUCAACCCAGGAACUGCGUCCGAGACUGGGAGGCUUGAAUCCGGGAGAGGGAUGCGGAAUUCCAGGUGUAGCGGUGAAAUGCGUAGAUAUCUGGAGGAACACCGGUGGCGAAGGCGGCAUCCUGGACCGGUAUUGACGCUGAGGCGCGAAAGCUAGGGGAGCAAACGGG